UGCCAGCAGCCGCGGUAACACGGGGGGAGCGAGCGUUGUUCGGAUUCAUUGGGCGUAAAGGGCGCGUAGGCGGCUCGGCAAGUUCGACGUGAAAUGUACCGGUUCAACCGGGGCGCUGUGUCGAAAACUGCCUUGCUUGAGGUCGAGGGAGGAGAGUGGAAUUCCUGGUGUAGCGGUGAAAUGCGUAGAUAUCAGGAGGAACACCCGUGGCGAAGGCGGCUCUCUAUCUCGAUUCUGACGCUGAGGCGCGAAAGCUAGGGGAGCAAACGGGAUUAGAUA
rnacentral:rRNA from 1 species